rnacentral:lncRNA from 14 species
UCCCCGCCCCGCCCGCUGCUACAUUGCCGGUCCCGCCCCCGGGGCGGCCCCCUGGGGUCCUAGUGCCGGGAUCCCGGUCCGGCCGCCCCGCGCUCGGCGCUGCCGCCACGGCCUCCGGUGCACCCGUGAGCGCAAACCUGACCCUAACCCAGCAGCGAGGGAAGGCCGCAAGCACGUCGCCAUGGCAACGGGCGGCCAGCGUGCGGUCAAACUCCAGUUUGAGUUACUGUCCAGGGUGGAUUUUUUUCAAAGAGGUAUGAACAAGGAAUCCUCAGAUGUUACUCCACAUCCUGCUCCUCUGUGACAGCCCAGAGCCUGACCCCAUGCUCCAGAGAGGUUGCUGCCAAAUGAGGUCACCCUGGUGCAGAAACGUGGACGAAGUGCUUCCAGAAGAGGAGGAUGGAAGAAGCCAGGACAGGAAGUAGAGCCGUCAGUAGCACAGGGCUCAGCUCAGUCAACUCCCUGCUCUGGAAAUGCUGAUUCCAGUUUUGUCUUGGCUCACAGACUGAAAUGUAUUAGAUGGUUUCAUUGUCAUCUUCCAAUCUCUCAUCAUAAAAAUCAUUCUUUGGUUUGACACAGUUUAGUUGUCUCUCUAGAAGACGUCUGCUUACACAGGGCAGUUCAGCCACUAGGUCUGGGUGCCUUUUGGGAACCACAAAGCUCAGAGAACCUCAAUGAGGGACUGCUUUUCAAACCCUGUAACAUCUGCUGAGCUAGCACAUCUCUUGAGAAAGACCAUGAACACCAGAAUAACAGCUUGGAGUGGGUCUUGAUGGAGACAUCAAGGAUCAUCUGGUCCAACCUCUCUUGGGAAAGAGACAAGAUGGCUCAGCACCCUGUUCAGCCAAAGAUGGACAACCUGGACUGCUAGGGACCUCUUAUGCCUUUUUCUUAGUUAUUCUAGUGAUUAAUUCCUCCUUCAGUUGAACUGUUGCUCUUUACUUUUAGUUUGUAUGAUGGCCAUUCCACCCCAAUGCUCCUGUUUGUUUGCUAGGUUGAAACAUACACAGUGAAAAAAAAAUUCUUUCUUACAGACCCUUAGAAAUCACUUGUAUUUUUAAUUUCUCUAAAGCUCUCCAUGUGGAAACUUGUUCUACUGAUGUUGACUCCUUCUUAUGACUCUGACUGCUUUGAGUUUUCUACAGUCUUUAUAAAUAUUGAACAUUAAAUUAGCAUCACUAAAACUGCAGUAAUAUAAUUUCCUUAUUGUUCUGUAUGUUUCUCUUUGGUCAGUCCCUACUUCCUUACAGAUUAUUAGUCAAGAUACUGAACAAACAUUGAUGAUAGAAAUAUUUAAAUUAUUAUUAUUCCUUGCAGGAAGACUAUCCACUUGG